GCGCCUAUAGCUCAGCAGGAUAGAGCGUUCGCCUCCUAAGCGAAAGGCCGCGCGUUCGAAUCGCGCUAGGCGUGCCA
rnacentral:tRNA from 1 species